rnacentral:rRNA from 1 species
UACGGAGGGUGCAAGCGUUAAUCGGAAUUAUUGGGCGUAAAGGGCGCGUAGGCGGGGAGGCAAGUUAGAUGUGAAAUCCCGGGGCUCAACCCCGGACCCGCAUCUGAUACUGCUAUUCUAGAGGAUGGAUGGAGAAGAGGGAAUUCCGCAUGUAGCGGUGAAAUGCGUAGAUAUGUGAAAGAACACCGGUGGCGAAGGCGGUUGUCUAAUUCAUACCUGACGCUGAGGCGCGAAAGCAUGGGGAGCGAACAGG